AUAGUCCUGAGAGUUGAACCCUGGAUGACUGACAGCUGUCCUUCAUCACCACAGAAGACACAGAAAUCCUCCUCAUCAAAAACAUGACUCUGAUCUCCGUCCUCAUCUGGACUCUCCUCUGCUGCUGCUUCACAGAGUCCAGAGGACAGGUCACAGUGACUCAGCCUGGAGCAGUGAGCUCUGCUGUGGGAGGCUCCGUCUCCCUCUCCUGUCGGACCAGUCGGAAUGUUUAUUACAGUGGCAGAUACCACAGUUUAGCCUGGUACCAACAGAGAGAUGGAGGAACUCCUAAACUGAUCAUUGACCUUGCUAACAGUCUACAAUCAGGGAUUCCAGCUCGUUUUACAGGCAGUGGAUCAAAGUCUGACUUCACUCUGACCAUCAGUGGAGUCCAGGCUGAAGAUGCAGCAGUUUACUACUGUCAGAGUUUUCAUGUGAUCAACGGUCAGUAUGUGUUCACACAGUGAAAAAGAGUCGUACAA